rnacentral:rRNA from 1 species
UACGGAGGAUGCGAGCGUUAUCCGGAUUUAUUGGGUUUAAAGGGUGCGUAGGCGGGAUGCCAAGUCAGCGGUAAAAAUGCGGUGCUCAACGCCGUCGAGCCGUUGAAACUGGCGUUCUUGAGUGGGCGAGAAGUAUGCGGAAUGCGUGUGUAGCGGUGAAAUGCAUAGAUAUCACGCAGAACUCCGAUUGCGAAGGCAGCAUACCGGCGCCCUACUGACGCUGAGGCACGAAAGCGUGGGUAUCGAACAGG